GGCCACGUAUCUCAAUUGGUUAGAGAAGCUCGCUCAUAACGAGAAGGUUGCAGGUUCGAGUCCUGUCGUGGCCA
rnacentral:tRNA from 1 species